rnacentral:rRNA from 1 species
UACGUAGGGGGCGAGCGUUGUCCGGAUUUAUUGGGCGUAAAGAGCGUGUAGGCGGCUAGGUAGGUCCGCUGUGAAAACUCGGGGCUCAACCCCGAGCGGUCGUGAGAAACUGGCAGGCUAGAGUGCGGGAGAGGAGAGUGGAAUUCCUGGUGUAGCGGUGAAAUGCGCAGAUAUCAGGAAGAACACCCGUGGCGAAGGCGGCUCUCUGGAACGCAACUGACGCUGAGACGCGAAAGCGUGGGGAGCAAACAGG